rnacentral:rRNA from 1 species
CCCUUAGAUGUUCUGGGCCGCACGCGCGCUACACUGAUGCAUUCAACGAGCCUAACCUUGACCGAGAGGUCCGGGUAAUCUUUGAAACUGCAUCGUGAUGGGGCUAGAUUAUUGCAAUUAUUAAUCUUCAACGAGGAAUGCCUAGUAAGCGUGAUUCAUCAAAUCGCGUUGAUUACGUCCCUGCCCUUUGUACACACCGCCCGUCGCUCCUACCGAUUGAGUGUGUUGGUGAGGAGUUCGGAUUGGCUCUUAGUGGUGGUUCGCCACCACCUAGAGCUGAGAAGUUCUCCAAACCGCCCCACUUAGAGGAAGGAGAAGUCGUANCA